ensembl:lncRNA
CCGGCCCCAGCGCGCUGCUUCCCGCCCCUCACGGCGUACCGAGGUUCCCUUCUGCCUGAAGGGAGUCCUCCGGCUGUGUUGCUUUUGAGAGGUGGUUUUCCACCGAGCAGCGCGUGUGCUCGUUGAGGCUCCGGUGUGUCACCUGCACGGCCUCUCGGGAUGUUCUCAGAUUUUCCUCAGUCGCGUUGUUGGCGCCGCUCGCGGUGCAGUCGCCCGAGUGGGGUAUGUGGGGGGAAAGCAUCGCGUUCUGAAGCACGCUUGGCAACAGUUGGGGAUGAAAAGCACCGAGUGUGGGAUCGGGAGUGCUUUGUGUCUAUUGUCGUCUUCUCUGAGGGAAAAAUUACCCCAGGGCCUCCCUCCUGACAGAUCGUGUGGAGAGAAAUUAGCUAAAAUAUACGGAGUGAGCUUUUCAGUGUUGCUCUGAAACCUAUCGGAACCUUCCUCCCUCAGAGGAAGUCUUUAAGGGCUUCAAGAGGGAGCCAUGCAUUAAGCUGGAAUCUCAGGAUCCGUUCUUGCAGUCAGAAGGACUCCUCCAGCUUACAAACCAGCAGUUGUUGUGCCAAAAAUGAAAAUUGGGCAGAAAACUGAGAUGGAGAGAGGAGUCAGAGCUCUGAUGCCAGCCCGACGUCUGAAGAGAACAACACGAGAUCUAUUGCCUCUCCGCCAUUCCCCACUUUUCAGCCUUCUUGCUUCCAACUGUGUGGCGGAGGUUCCACCAUACAGUGUUCCUGCAAAUAUAGGAAAAUAGGCAAAACGGUGGAAAUGCCCUAUUGGUUUCUCCUUUAAUGUCUCUCAGUGGGAGCCCAGAUACCAACCACAAUAGAUGCACGGUGAGGGGAGCCCCCGUGAGCUCCUCAGACAUGGGAAAUGCCUCGGUCAGAACUUGCACCUCUUAAGGUGAUCAAAAGCAGUUGGCUUUAGCACACAAAUCAGAGGCAUUCCUAGCAGCUCUUGCUGUGGUGCUCACGACAGUCCUUAGUUGUGUGUCACUCAAACCACGGUCAUUAGAGUUAUGCCUCUAAGGAGCAAAGUCCCAGACUUGAUUGCAUGGGGAGGUGUUGGGGCUAUGGAUGACACUUCCCUCAGCUCCUGAAGUGGGGAAAGGGAGGGUCUGGAAGUGAGUUGUUUUCUCUCCUUUUAUCCUACUCAUCCAUGCCUUGGGAAGAUGAAGAGGAGGGGAGAGCUUUCAGAUGGGUGAGGCCUUUGGGUUCAGGGAGGAGAAUGGGAGUUAGAGUUAGUUAGGUCCAGUGCUCAAGGAAUGCCAGGUGUGGGGGAUGAGAGGAACCCAACUACGCCUGCAGAAAUCCUUUUAUCAGCAGUCUGUGUAUCAGCCCUUUUUCUAGGGAUGAUACUGAGUGGAUUAGUUAUGCAUGCAUGUGAGAAGGCUGGAAGGGUAGCAGAAAAAUUUUAAUAAAGGGAGAACAAAAAUCUCAGUUUUCACUCAGAGGUUUCCCAAGCACUGUGGAUCUUUUAUCCAGAGCUUUAGUACUGUGGGUUUAAUGGUAUCAAGUUAUCUUACAAGAGAUUUCAUGAUACACAUAGGGAAAUACCUUUUCUGGGGGAACUGGUUGAACACGAAAUAAGUUCUUCCAAGCAAAGACUUCAACUGUGUAGCCACUCCCAUCGCUGAAGUGUAUUCUAACCUGUGUUUUCAGUCUUGUGAAUCUGCUUUUCCCACAGCCCUUUUGCUGAUCCAUGCAUUUGUCUACAACUGCAUAUACACUGAGGUUAGGAAUGAGGACACAGAUGAGCUUGUGCACACACAACGUGCAUUAUUUCUGCCUCCAUGCUGUAGUUCAGGUUGGAAACGUCCACCCUGGAUGCAGAAAGAGCUGAGAUAGUGAAGUGGGCUGUGGCACAGGACCCUGCCAGCUGGGGUGCACAGAUAGCAAUGAGGCAUACGGUAUGAUGCCAUGAGGGUUUGGAUUCUCCUCCACUCGUGUUGGUGUUAGUGAUCAUCAAACCCCCACUGAACAAGUCAGUUUGGAAGCAACCUUUGUCUUAUUUUUUUUGGCUGACAGAGCCAGUAAUGGAAAGAGGUGAGAGAUGGCAUGAGCCUCUUUUUGUGGCUCUGGCAAACUCCCACGCUUCCCAUCUCUCAUUUCUGUUAAGGACUGGGACUGAAGACUGACCUUUGGCCAAUGGGACCCUGACAUCUUCUUAUUAAUCAUAAUCAUGUUUUCCCAUCCAGUCUUAUUUCCACUGCCUGUUCCCAGUGGCCAGCCAGGACCGCGAGGAGUCCCAUCAGCCAUUCGGUAUCUUUGAGCUUGAACUGCACUGCCUUGUGCAGCCCGAUGGGUACUCCUGCUGAGUAGCGAUUGAUGACAUUACCAUUCUUUUCACAAAGCUAAGUCCUCUGUCUAUUGAAGCUGGUACCUCUAUGGAGAACACUGCAGCUCCUCUCUUGGACACGUACCCAGAUUUAUUUUGCACAAUAUCCGGGGAGAAAGACAAAGGAAAAACAGAUAAAUGCCCCUGGGCCUUGUCCCAGUUUGUAGUCAAGUCAUAACUGCAGGAUGCUUUUUGACCCAGAAAUGGGGAAAUACUCCUGUAUGCAUAUAUACAGGCACAGCCAAGUGACAGAGCUUUUAUGAGAGAGAGAACAAAAC